UACGUAGGGCGCAAGCGUUGUCCGGAAUUAUUGGGCGUAAAGAGCUCGUAGGCGGCCUGUUGCGUCCGCUGUGAAAUCCCGGGGCUCAACCCCGGGCCUGCAGUGGAUACGGGCUGGCUAGAGGCAGGCAGGGGAGAACGGAAUUCCUGGUGUAGCGGUGAAAUGCGCAGAUAUCAGGAGGAACACCGGUGGCGAAGGCAGCCCCCUGGGUCGAUACUGACGCUCAUGCACGAAAGCGUGGGGAGCAAACAGG
rnacentral:rRNA from 1 species